rnacentral:rRNA from 1 species
AUUGAACGCUGGCGGCAGGCCUAACACAUGCAAGUCGAACGGUAACAGGAAGAAGCUUGCUUCUUUGCUGACGAGUGGCGGACGGGUGAGUAAUGUCUGGGAAACUGCCUGAUGGAGGGGGAUAACUACUGGAAACGGUAGCUAAUACCGCAUAACGUCGCAAGACCAAAGAGGGGGACCUUCGGGCCUCUUGCCAUCGGAUGUGCCCAGAUGGGAUUAGCUAGUAGGUGGGGUAACGGCUCACCUAGGCGACGAUCCCUAGCUGGUCUGAGAGGAUGACCCGCCACACUGGAACUGAGACACGGUCCAGACUCCUACGGGAGGCAGCAGUGGGGAAUAUUGCGCAAUGGGCGAAAGCCUGAUGCAGCCAUGCCGCGUGUAUGAAGAAGGCCUUCGGGUUGUAAAGUACUUUCAGCGGGGAGGAAGGAAGUAAAGUUAAUACCUUUGCUCAUUGACGUUACCCGCAGAAGAAGCACCGGCUAACUCCGUG